rnacentral:rRNA from 1 species
UACGUAGGGUGCAAGCGUUAAUCGGAAUUACUGGGCGUAAAGCGUGCGCAGGCGGUUUUGUAAGUCUGACGUGAAAUCCCCGGGCUCAACCUGGGAAUUGCGUUGGAGACUGCAAGGCUGGAGUCUGGCAGAGGGGGGGUAGAAUUCCACGUGUAGCAGUGAAAUGCGUAGAUAUCGGAAGGAACACCAGUGGCGAAAAGCGGCUUCCUGGUCCAGCACCGGACGUCAGGCACGAAAGCGUGGGGAGCAAACAGG